UUCCACUCGACGGCAAAAAUGUCCCUCGGCCCCUCCGCAUCGUAGAACGUAGUAUCAAAUUAAAUAACAUGGUCACAGAUAAUGCUGCAGUUCAUCAUUCAUCAUUUCAUCAUUAUUCAUUUCCCCUGGCCCAAAGUCGUGGAAGUUUCUCUCGUGUCCGCAACCGACUGUGAUAUUACUAUUAUGUAAACGUUUUUCCCGACUGAUCCCACGUAGUGCUAUCCGGUUUCGACAAACCACAAACAGACUUCUGUUUACGUGACAGAAAAAUAAAAAUAAUUAAAUACAUAUAAAAAAAACCAUAUUUAGUCGGAUGCAGGUCACAGACAACGAUGCACUCACGUUCGUCGACUUCAAACGCAAAUGUCGACGUUUCGAGUAUCAACCACCAUCGUACAAUGGGCCACAACAGUGUGAUUGACAUAAUAUCACUGGGGAUCACGGAAAACACUUACGAUACGUAGUGUUAAAUUUUGUGUGUCCGAUCAGACGAUACUACAAUAGUGAUCGUUGAUGAAUGGUACAGUACAGAUUAAAGUUCAAGUUUUGAGACAAAAGUUGCGAUGCAGAAGGAGGGCAAACCCAGGUUUCUAAAACACCAUAGCAACAGUGUCCGGGGAGUAGCGUUUAGUCCUCGAGACCGUUAUCUAUUCUGCUCUGGUGCUUACGAUGGUAAGGUCAAUCUCUAUUCCUCGUUACGUAUGGAAUUACUUAUGUCAUAUUCUAUUACCACAAUGGCUGUUGCAAAAAAUGUAAAUGCAGUUCGAUUCACAUCUGAUGGUUCCAGGAUUUUAGCGUGUACAACAUCUCGGAGGCUUUCAGUUGUUGAUGUAGAACGAGGAGAACAACUAUUAGCUUAUGAUAAUUGUGCGGCAAGUGGGAGAGAUAGAACUGGUCUAGCUACUGAUCCUACAUCACCUAACAUUGCGGUAUCUGUAGCGGUAAAUGGCAAAGGUCUUACGUUAUUAGAUCUUCGAAUGCCUUUACCUCUAGAUUAUGUGUAUGAUCUACAUUCUAGUACUAUUCGUGAUAUAGUUUUUCUAGAAUCAUCAUGGCCCUGGGCAACUAGUAACGGACUUCUCAGUACUAUUGUCACUGCAGGUUCAGAUGGUUGCUGUAAAGUGUGUACAAUGGAUGGCCGAAUAUUACACACAUUUUAUUCCGGGCGUCAUCUGAACACGGUUUGUCCAACACCAGAACCGUUUCAAGGAUUUUUGUCCAAUGGAUUUUAUAGUGUAAUUAUGAGCGGGGGCGAUAAAAUUACGUCAUAUGUCCCUAAUUUGGGUAUUCAAGAGAGCUUCUGCGAAAACCGUGAUAAACCGAUUUGGAAAGUCAGAUACACAUCAAAUGGUAGCUUUCUAUAUUCUGUAUGUGAAGGUGGUGUUGUUAGAAAAUACCGAAGAUAUCCAGAUAGACAUGAGUACCUCGGAGAAGUAUAUACCCAUAAAGGAGAUAUACAAGACUUGGAUAUAUCUCCUUAUGAUGAAUGUAUCCUUUUAACCUUUUGAAUGUGCUUGAAAUGGACCGGAACGCACCAGUUCAUCAUACAGUCGAACAUGGUUAGCUUGAAGUUGAAAGGACCGGCCCGAAAGUUAGAAUUAUACAAGAAUUCGAGUUAUCCAAGGAAAAGUUUGAGCAUCCAAGGACCGAACAGUGGGUGUACUACGUCUGGGAGCUCCUAGUCAUGGGUGGACGGACUAUGGCGAACUAACGUGAUAAUUUGAGCAAUAUUUGGACGAAAUACAAAAUAAAUAUAGUUACGAUAUAUGAUGUAAAUUUGUAUACUUAAGAAUAUGUUAUAAGGGAAUUUUAAAAGUUUUAAUGCUAACCGAUGCACCAAAUUAAAGUGUGAUAUUUAAUGUAAAACAAAAAUUAUACCAUUUUGGACAAAUUUUAUUAAAGAAAAAUUAAAAAGUAUGUUUAUAGUUAUUUUUUAACAAAUAUAAUUAUAUUUUAUUAU